AUGAGAUCCGGGCUGGGUCGCAUAUCCAAACCGUAUCACCCCUCCUUUCCCACCAAAUGGUCUGCCCUUAGCCAGUCCCUCUGCCUUUCUCAGUAAGAAAGUGGGAACUGAAGUGCCUGAGUGGCAGAGCUGGGAUUGGAAAGCAACGUAGUGGACCCCGGAGUCAACAUUCAGUUUUUGGGGAUGGGGGUUGGAGGAGUUGGGAGCUCUUACUAUAUUGCCCAGGCUGGUCUCCAAUUCCUAUAGGCUCAAGCGAUCCUCCCGAGUGCGGAGAUUACAGGUGUGCGCCACGGCGCCCGGCUCCAAAGUCAACAUUCUUAACUUCUGCCUUACGCUCUCUCCAUGUUCUUAGCUUUCAUCCACUUUCUCUGGCUCAUCUGUCCAUUUCUCUUCUCAGGGUCACUCACCACCUCCGCCAGACCUUUCCCGGACAGACCCAAGCCGGCAGAGCAGCCGCUCGCCCCAGAGCCGUGGUGUCUUCCUGGUGCGUGGGUGCCACCGCGUGGCAAAACAGGACAACUGUAGGAAUCGACUUUCCAUCACUUUGGAGCUCAUCAGUGCUUUUCUUUUAGACUCAUAUGGCAGGAACAAGAAGUGCACAUGCCAAAAGAAAGGCAGAGGGCUGCGGGAGCAAGAUGGGUUGUAAGGGGCAUGAUGACUAAUGCAAUCCUGGCACCUCUUCUUCCAGCAUUAUAAGGACACAGUAGAAUAAUCGUGCAUGAGUUAUGUGACAGUAGCACCUUUCAAAAAUAUAUAGCAUUGUGGAAACAGAACCCUCCGAAUAUAUAUUCCUCACUGCAAUAAAUGUCUAUGUAAAAGUAA